rnacentral:lncRNA from 1 species
GUCUGACAAGAACAUACAUCAAACCAUCCGAAGCCUCCUCGCACACCUACAAACUGUGAUAAUGUGGAGUGCUUUCACUCCCCAUAUCUAAAUCCGGUGUCGUCUCCAAUCCAUCCACAUGACGUAUCGGAACUCACAGCCGGUGCAGCAGACCUAAAGCGUACACCACAUACACACGUUUUAGAAGCCGCCAUGUCACACCCAAGAUGCGACCCUAUCCUUAAUUUGACACGAAGGCCUCGUCAGGGAUAGAAGCGCAUCUCGUCGUGUCGCAAGAAUGGAUAUCGUUACAAGUACAUGUACUGAAAAGAGGAGAUAUAUAUACAGAGUUGGCUUACACUCGCCACAAGCUACAUCAGAGUCACAUCAGUACAUUACAUAACCAUCAAGAGUAAGAGCAGGGUUCGACUACGGACGAAAACAAACGACAAAAGAAGAACGACGUCCAUCCUUGCUAUCCCAGGCUGCCGGCCUGGAACCCAUCCUAGAUCGAUGAAGAAGAAGAAGAUGAAUCAACUCCAAAUGAACAAUCAACGCGCUCGCGUCAACUAACCUUUACCUGUACCUGCAACUGGUGUUGUAGUAAUAUGUGAGCCACAGGGGACUCAGCAAUCUCAUUUUCAAAGGUAUCAAGACUAGCAAAGCUUAAUGGGUGAGGCAUGGUUAAGUGGUGAGGUUGCAGCAGCGGCUAAGCAUAUCUUUGGUGGCUAACUUACGAGUACAAGAACUAAGAGGGGGAAGAUCUACGCAUAACGGACGUGAACUAUUGAUGAUCAAAUGAAUGACCCUGAACACCUACCUACGUCAGACACAACCCCACCGUGUCCUCGAUCGGAGAAGGAACUCACGAAAGAGACAAUCACGAUUACGCACACAGUUGGCAUGUUUUAAUUAAGUUAACUUCAAGUUAUCUAGAACCAGUGUUAAACAAAGUUUCCACGUUGCCACAUAACCGCGGGCACGGCUUUCCGAAAGAUUUAACCCUGCAGGGGUGCUCCAACUAGUCCAUCACAAAUUACCACAAGCCGCAUAGAAAUCCUCAAUCACGAAGCUCGCGAUCUCGUUGGAUUCCCUAGUAGAAAACCUCAACUCUGAGAUUACCCAAAGCAUCACCGGAAUCCCGAUGCACAAGAUAUCUCGUCAAAGGUAAAACUAAUCCAGCAAGGCCGCCCGACGUGUCGACAUACCCGAUAGGAGCCGCGUAUCUCGUUCUCAGGACACGACGGAUGGAACUAGCUACAGGUGCCAAACCUCGAGUUUCCUCGCGGUGGCCCCGCAGGCAGACCGUUUGGGACCAACACCAUCAGCACUGGCCCCCCCUGUUUAUGUAAAAUUACUCCUCGGGUAGCGCUAACUCCCUAUGCAUUUCAAUUUAUCAAAAUUAUUAUGUUGGGCAAAUGUAAAACCAAUGUUGGGCCUUGCCAGACCAACUUUAAUCUAAAACGAAUUAUCAAGGGGGUCCCCAUAACAACCCCGGUCGUGUUAGGAGCGCUCGUUUAUGGAACAUAACACCGGUAGCCGAAAACUAAGGGGGCAAAGGUGGAACAAAACACCAGGCUAGAAAGGCCGAGCCUUCCACCUUUUACCAAGUAUAUAGGUGCAUUAAAUUAAAUAGCAUUAAUAUGGUGAUAUAACAAGGAACCCGUGCUUGCACAUGGAAGCAUCUGCACCUGCAACUAGCAACGCUAACACAGGGUUAAGCAAGCAGUAACAUAGCCAAUCAGUGGUUUGCUAGGUCGAACAGGUUGAAGGUUUCAUGGCAUUGUUGAGAGGGUGGUAUUUAACAUGUGGUAGGCAACGAGACAUAACGAUAGAGACGGUAAAACUAGCAUGGCAAUGAUAGUAAUGGUAUCAGGGUAAAUGAUCAUCUUGCCUGAGAUCCCGCUUGGAAGAAGAAUGCCUCCGUGAAGCAGACGAACCGAUGUAGUCGAACGGGUCCUCACAAUCCGGCACAUUGCGGAACUCUAUCGAGACGAAGCAAACCGGAACGCAAAUCAACACACGGAAUUCA